GACGAACGCUGGCGGCGUGCUUAACACAUGCAAGUCGAACGGAAAGUGCCCAGCUUGCUGGGUGACUCGAGUGGCGAACGGGUGAGUAACACGUGGGUGAUCUGCCCUGCACUUCGGGAUAAGCUUGGGAAACUGGGUCUAAUACCGGAUAGGACCAUGCCAUGCAUGUGGUGUGGUGGAAAGCUUUUUGCGGUGUGGGAUGGGCCCGCGGCCUAUCAGCUUGUUGGUGGGGUGAUGGCCUACCAAGGCGACGACGGGUAGCCGGCCUGAGAGGGUGUCCGGCCACACUGGGACUGAGAUACGGCCCAGACUCCUACGGGAGGCUG
rnacentral:rRNA from 1 species